AUUGAACGCUGGCGGCAGGCCUAACACAUGCAAGUCGAGCGAGCGGCGGACGGGUGAGUAAUGUAUGGGGACUGCCCGAUAGAGGGGGAUAACUACUGGAAACGGUAGCUAAUACCGCAUACUAUCGGAUAACCCAUAUGGGAUUAGCUAGUAGGUGAGGUAAUGGCUCACCUAGGCAACGAUCCGUAGCUGGUUUGAGAGGAAGAGCAGCCACACUGGGACUGAGACACGGCCCAGACUCCUACGGAGGCAGCAGUGGGGAAUAUUGGACAAUGGGUGAAACCCUGAUGCAGCCAUGCCGCGUGUAUGAUGAAGGCCGUCGGGUUGUAAAGUACUUUUAGCCGGGAAGCGUUAUCGACAGAAGAAGCACCGGCUAACUCCGUGCCAGCAGCCGCGGUAAUAC
rnacentral:rRNA from 1 species